rnacentral:tRNA from 1 species
AGUGAUAGCUCAGUGGUAGAGUCCCUGCUUAGGAUGCGUGAGGUCCUGGGUUCAAUUCCCGGUAUCUCCA